rnacentral:tRNA from 1 species
GUGGGCGUAGCUCAGCGGUAGAGCCCCUGACUGUGGAUCAGGUGGUCGUCGGUUCAAAUCCGAUCGCCCACCCCA